rnacentral:lncRNA from 1 species
GAGGUGUAUAGAUUGUACAUGGAAGACAGCCGUGAUGAUGAAAAUCUACUCUGUUGAUAUUGUAAUGCAGGGUUACCAAUUAUUAUCAAAAUUGUAAUCCUUUUAUAAUUACUGAAGUUUUUAGAGCAUGAUAUUUGUGAUAAGUGUACUGCAUGGAGCAUCAAUCACCUUACCUUUCUGUGAAGAUUACAAGCAAUAUCAUAAAAUGGCUUUGCUCAUACACGAUUGAUUGAUGUCCUUGUGCAAAUUUAUGCUUCUGAGAUACAAUUGAUGACAAAAAACCAGAACAAGUUAAGUAACUCUAAAGUUUAAAGUUAUUUUCUUUGUUUGAAAUUAUAUCAACUCUGUCAAAUCAACCAAUUCAACAAGAAACUGAGAGAACGGAAACCUUGAAAUGCUUAAUGUCUCCAAAUGCAACUCCUUUUAUGAUCUGAGAUUUCAGUGGUACCACAUGUGGACAGUGUGUAGAGGAGAAAAUUAAUGGAGUUGUAACACGAGUUGAGAGAAGUUCAAGUUCUGAAGUAUUGUUCAGCAAUGUAGUGGUUAAAGAUGAUUGUACAGGGUGACUUCUGCUAGUUGAAAAACUUUAGUUUUACACAGUUACUGUUUCUGGGAAGCAGAAUCAGACCAUCUAUUAUCAUAAAGCUGUCAAGCUAAUUUUGUGUCCUUACUUGAUGAAGCCACAAUGUGAUUAUCUUCUUCGUUACACAACACAAGUUGUGGAUAACAAAAUCAGAUGUUAGAGCUAGUCACGCUUGUCAUAUGUUAGAGUUUUUAUGGCAAAAAUUGGGAUUUGAGGUCUAUGACUACCCCUUCAUAUGAAGCUGAUCACUAAAAGAAAGCUGCCUAAGCGAUGCAUAUACAUAAGUGGAACAAUACCUAAACUAGAAUUGCCCAAUAUGUUACAGAAUAGUAUCAUUACUUUGGUUGCAUGAGGUUUUGGCUUUCGUGUGGAUGUUUCCGUUGCCUGCCUGAGUAAGCACUAUCCAACAUAUGCCUGUUCACGUCAAACCUUAAUACUAGUCGCUUUUUGAUUUCAUAGCUAACAAACCAUUCAAGAAGAAAAAGGUAUCAUGGUUAUGCUUCAUAAGCCAAUUUUGCACUGCAAUCCCUCAAAAUGAAUCUUUUGCCCAUGAUUUAAGGUAAGUUGCAUCAGAAACGGAAAUUCCAGAACAGAUGUUAUAGUAAAGAAGCCAGGCAAUAUCUGUAGCAAGAAAAAAAGUCUCCCUGAUAUUCAUUAAGAUUGAAUUGUCGAAAAGCUAAUGAGGUGGGCAGAUGUUUUUGUUUUCUAGACCAGGAAGCAAGCAUGUUGUGAUUGGAAAAAAGCUAUACCCUGACAAUUUUUAAGAAGCCUCUCUUUCUUGUUUUCAGCAUACAUGGUAAUUUGUCAAAAGUUUUGCUCUCUGUAAGGUGCUUAGACUAAUUAUGUCACCAAAGUUGACGAUCCAUUUACAGUUUGAGACUCAGAAUAAACAUAUCUUUCAUUAGCUUAUUCGAGGUUAUUACACAGAUCUCUGUUUUUCCAUUCAAUGUUUGCUGUAAAAUGUAUAUCAUUGAAGGACAAAGAAUUCCCCCAUCCAGAUAUUCAAACAACUCAAUUUUGGUGAAACAAAUUUUCUUGUGGAAUUUAUAUACUUCAAUUUUUGGUCUUCCAAAAACAAAUUAGGAUGAAACUCCGAUUUCAUUGGUUACCAUUGUAUUUCUUGUGUAUCUAAUUGAUUUAGUUUGUAGUAAUUCUUUAAAAAACUCUUACUUUAUACAGAUAGUGAGGAAUUUGAAUCCCACGGAUUAGUUUUAGCAGGACUUGUGCUAUUGUGAUUCCACAAAUGUCUUGAUCUCAACAUCCAGUUCACCAGAACAAACACUUCCUAGCUUUUUAUCCAUUUGCAGGAAACAUGACAUGAUUGACGCAAUCAAAUAGUUUGAAACCAGAUAAACAGUGUUUAACAGAGAAUCUGGGAAGUAUUCAUGGAUUCAUUUUUUUGCUAUGAUGACUAAAAGCUGAUCCCUAAUAGAAAAGGGCAAGAUCCAAAAACUGAUUUUACUCCAAGUAUAGUGCCAAUAGAAUAAGCAUCCAUUAAACAGAAUCUCUUAUUUAUCUAUUUUUUAAAUCAGAAUCUCUUAUAAAAAAAAAACAAGUCCAAUGGCAUUGCCGAGUCCUGCACAGAACCAUUAACAGACAAAAUUCCUGAGCAAGUGAUUAGAAACUCAAUUAGUUUAGCAGCACACUGGUUUGUCAGGCUGAAGAAAUAAGUAAUACCUGGUACUGAUCCAGAUAAAUGCAUCCAAAUUGGAAAAGUAUGUUGUCAAUGCCUUCUUUCUCGUUAAUCCAGGAUUAACACAUAAUACCUUGUUCUCUAAAUUGUUAGUAAUUGAUUUUCUUGCAAUUGCUGUUUUUUUAUUCUAGUGGAGAUUUGUGUAUCAGAAACAUAAGAUUCAAGAUCUUCAGAAACUGGAAGCUCAUCAUUUUGCAAUUAGCAUUACUUAAACUCAGCAUAAACAGCAGAGAGAAUGAUAUUUGAUUACCGCUUUUAAUUAUUUCUCGUCCCAAGUGGGGCCUAAUCGAAAUACUAAUACCUACCCUAAAUACUUUGUCAGACUAGGAAGAAUCCAAGUAGCUAUACUAUGAAGUAAUGAGUAAAACAAGUACAAACAAAGAUAAUGUUGUCGCAGCCUAUAAGUCUACUUUACGAGGCAUAUUCAUAUCAUCCUUCUUAUCUAAGUUUCACUUGACUGAAUUUCAAAAUGUUCUGAUGUUGGCAUUGCUUUUGGGAAACCAAUCUGUUGAAUGUAUGAUGUGGAAUCGACGUGGUGAUCAUUUUUUGCAGAACAAAAAGUUAUAGCAACGUAUGGAGUGAUCAUAUGUCGACCAAUGCUACUGGCAUAUUCAACAUUAUUGACUUCCGAUUCUUUCAGUUGGGAUUCAUUGUCCAGAGGUGAAUAGACAGAGAAAGGUUGAGCACUGUAGUGAUUGCUUUUUGCAAUAUUCUAGUUUAUCUGCAUUGCUGACCUACAGAUCAUAUCGUUACAUCUUAAUCCUUUAAGUGGGGUAUGAGGUUGUGACUUGCAUGUGGAAGUUUUCAUUGGUAUACAUUCAGCAGCAACUAACAUGCAUGUCCACAGGAUUAGGAGCUUCUGCUGUAGCGUCGGAACGUGGGCCACCGUACUCUUUUGCCACGUUUGCCACUGGCUGCUUGGAAGAGCGCAGCCCCACCGUAUGAACAGUGAAGUUGAAGUAAAUACCACAGCCACUGGAUAGCAAGAAAGCUUUAAUAAGCCUCCCCUGUCAUCCCUCCUCGCACCCCCCCCCCCCCCCCCAAAACCCCAAAAAAAAAA